rnacentral:rRNA from 1 species
CAGAGGUCCCAAGCGUUGUUCGGAUUCACUGGGCGUAAAGGGUGCGUAGGCGGUCGGGUAAGUCUGACGUGAAAUCUUCAAGCUCAACUUGGAAACUGCGUCGGAUACUAUUCGGCUAGAGGAAUGGAGGGGAGACUGGAAUACUUGGUGUAGCAGUGAAAUGCGUAGAUAUCAAGUGGAACACCAGUGGCGAAGGCGAGUCUCUGGACAUUUCCUGACGCUGAGGCACGAAAGCCAGGGGAGCAAACGGGAUUAGAUACCCCGGUAGUCCUGGCCCUAAACGGUGCACGUUUGCUGUAAGAGGAAUCGACCCCUUUUGUGGCGAAGCUAACGCGUUAAACGUGCCGCCUGGGAAGUACGGCCGCAAGGUUA